UCCGAGUUGACCCCGGCAGUCUCUUAUGAGUCCCCACCAUUACGUGCUGGCAACAUAAGACGAGGGUUGCGCUCGUUGCGGGACUUAACCCAACACCUCACGGCACGAGCUGACGACAGCCAUGCAGCACCUUGCUCCUUAUCCUUGCGGAACGAUCCGUCUCCGGACCCGUCAAGGGCAUUCUAGCCCAGGUAAGGUUCCUCGCGUAUCAUCGAAUUAAACCACAUGCUCCGCUGCUUGCGCGGGCCCCCGUCAAUUCCUUUGAGUUUCAGCCUUGCGGCCGUACUCCCCAGGCGGGGCACUUAUCGCGUUAGCUGCGGCACCGAAGGGGUCGCUCCCCCCGGCACCUAGUGCCCAUCGUUUACGGCGUGGACUAC
rnacentral:misc_RNA from 1 species